UACGAAGGGGGCUAGCGUUGCUCGGAAUCACUGGGCGUAAAGCGCACGUAGGCGGACUCUUAAGUCGGUGGUGAAAUCCUGGAGCUCAACUCCAGAACUGCCUUUGAUACUGGUAAGCUCGAGUCCGGGAGAGGUGAGUGGAACUGCGAGUGUAGAGGUGAAAUUCGUAGAUAUUCGCAAGAACACCAGUGGCGAAGGCGGCUCACUGGCCCGGUACUGACGCUGAGGUGCGAAAGCGUGGGGAGCAAACAGG
rnacentral:rRNA from 1 species